rnacentral:siRNA from 1 species
CAACUUUGGUCCAAAUGUCAU